rnacentral:rRNA from 1 species
UACGAGUUGUGCAAACGUUAUUCGGAAUUACUGGGCUUAAAGAGUCCGUAGGCGGCGCAGAAAGUAGGGUGUGAAAGCCCUCGGCUUAACCGAGGAAUUGCGCUCUAAACUGCUGUGCUUGAGGAACCUAGAGGUGAGCAGAACUGAUGGUGGAGCGGUGAAAUGCGUUGAUAUCAUCAGGAAUACCGGAGGCGAAGGCGGCUCACUGGGGGUUUUCUGACGCUGAGGGACGAAAGCCAGGGGAGCGAACGGG